rnacentral:rRNA from 1 species
GACGAACGCUGGCGGCGUGCUUAACACAUGCAAGUCGAGCGAGAAACCUUCGGGUCUCUAGCGGCGGACGGGUGAGUAACACGUGGGUAACCUGCCUCAAAGAGGGGGAUAGCCUUCCGAAAGGAAGAUUAAUACCGCAUAAUAUUACAGUUUCGCAUGAAGCAGUAAUUAAAGGAGUAAUCCGCUUUGAGAUGGACCCGCGGCGCAUUAGCUAGUUGGAGAGGUAACGGCUCACCAAGGCAACGAUGCGUAGCCGACCUGAGAGGGUGAUCGGCCACAUUGGAACUGAGACACGGUCCAGACUCCUACGGGAGGCAGCAGUGGGGAAUAUUGCACAAUGGGCGAAAGCCUGAUGCAGCAACGCCGCGUGAGUGAUGAAGGUCUUCGGAUUGUAAAGCUCUGUCUUUUGGGACGAUAAUGACGGUACCAAAGGAGGAAGCCACGGCUAACUACGUGCCAGCAGCCGCCGCCG